CCUACGGGUGACAGCAGUGAGGAAUAUUGGUCAAUGGUCGGGAGACUGAACCAGCCAAGCCGCGUGAGGGAGGAAGGUACAGAGUAUCGUAAACCUCUUUUGUCAGGGAACAAAGGCGGGGACGUGUCCCCGGAUGAGUGUACCUGAAGAAAAAGCAUCGGCUAACUCCGUGCCAGCAGCCGCGGUAAUACGGAGGAUGCGAGCGUUAUCCGGAUUUAUUGGGUUUAAAGGGUGCGCAGGCGGUCUGUUAAGUCAGCGGUAAAAGCCCGGGGCUCAACCCCGGCGCGCCGUUGAAACUGGCAGUCUCGAGUUGGAGAGAGGUAUGCGGAAUGCGCGGUGUAGCGGUGAAAUGCAUAGAUAUCGCGCAGAACUCCGAUUGCGAAGGCAGCAUGCCGGCUCCACACUGACGCUGAGGCACGAAAGCGUGGGUAUCGAACAGGAUUAGAUACCCUAGUAGUC
rnacentral:rRNA from 1 species